UACGUAGGGUGCAAGCGUUGUCCGGAAUUAUUGGGCGUAAAGAGCUCGUAGGCGGUCUGUCGCGUCUGCUGUGAAAACCUAGGGCUUAACUCUGGGCGUGCAGUGGGUACGGGCAGGCUAGAGUGCGGUAGGGGAGACUGGAAUUCCUGGUGUAGCGGUGAAAUGCGCAGAUAUCAGGAGGAACACCAGUGGCGAAGGCGGACACCUCG
rnacentral:rRNA from 1 species